rfam:Leucoagaricus sp. SymC.cos contig12696, whole genome shotgun sequence.
GCCCGCCUAGCUCAAUCGGAUAGAGCGUCAGACUCUUAAUCUGCGUGGGCGGUUGCGAAAUCUGAAGGUUGCGAGUUCGACCCUCGCGGUGGGCU